rnacentral:rRNA from 1 species
ACUCCUACGGGAGGCAGCAGUGGGGAAUAUUGCACAAUGGGGGAAACCCUGAUGCAGCCAUGCCGCGUGUGUGAAGAAGGCCUUGGGUUGUAAAGCACUUUCAGUAGGGAGGAAGGUAGUGUAGUUAACACCUGCAUUAUUUGACGUUACCUACAGAAGAAGCACCGGCUAACUCCGUGCCAGCAGCCGCGGUAAUACGGAGGGUGCGAGCGUUAAUCGGAAUUACGUGGGCGUAAAGCGCAUGCAGGCGGCCUGUUAAGUCAGAUGUGAAAGCCCGGGGUCUUAACCUCGGAAUUGCAUUUGAAACUGGCAGGCUAGAGUCUUGUAGAGGGGUUAGAAUUUCAGGUGUAGCGGUGAAAUGCGUAGAGAUCUGAAGGAAUACCAGUGGCGAAGGCGGCCCCUGGACAAAGACUGACGCUCAGAUGCGAAA